rnacentral:ncRNA from 1 species
GUCCCGGACAUGACGAUAAACUGUCUGCUGCUUCGCGCCGCGCCGGACUGAUCACCGGCGGCUCAACGGCGCAGGCGGGUACAACUUAAUAUCUUUAAAAUUCAGCUGCCUUUUGAGCGGGAAGCUGCAGACCGGAACGGAGAAAAAAUCUCCCUCGGUAGGCGGUUUGUUUGCUAUACCUUUUUUUGCGGCUGACUC